GGAGCGUUCUGUAAGCCUGUGAAGGUGUGUCGUGAGGCAUGCUGGAGGUAUCAGAAGUGCGAAUGCUGACAUAAGUAACGAUAAAGCGGGUGAAAAGCCCGCUCGCCGGAAGACCAAGGGUUCCUGUCCAACGUUAAUCGGGGCAGGGUGAGUCGACCCCUAAGGCGAGGCCGAAAGGCGUAGUCGAUGGGAAACGGGUUAAUAUUCCCGUACUUGGUGUUACUGCGAAGGGGGGACGGAGAAGGCUAUGUUGGCCGGGCGACGGUUGUCCCGGUUUAAGCGUGUAGGUGUGUGUUCCAGGUAAAUCCGGUUCACUUUAACACUGAGGCGUGACGACGAGGCACUACGGUGCUGAAGCAACAAAUGCCCUGCUUCCAGGAAAAGCCUCUAAGCAUCAGGUAACAUCAAAUCGUACCCCAAACCGACACAGGUGGUCAGGUAGAGAAUACCAAGGCGCUUGAGAGAACUCGGGUGAAGGAACUAGGCAAAAUGGUGCCGUAACUUCGGGAGAAGGCACGCUGACACGUAGGUGAAGUGAUUUACUCAUGGAGCUGAAGUCAGUCGAAGAUACCAGCUGGCUGCAACUGUUUAUUAAAAACACAGCACUGUGCAAACACGAAAGUGGACGUAUACGGUGUGACGCCUGCCCGGUGCCGGAAGGUUAAUUGAUGGGGUCAGCGCAAGCGAAGCUCCUGAUCGAAGCCCCGGUAAACGGCGGCCGUAACUAUAACGGUCCUAAGGUAGCGAAAUUCCUUGUCGGGUAAGUUCCGACCUGCACGAAUGGCGUAAUGAUGGCCAGGCUGUCUCCACCCGAGACUCAGUGAAAUUGAACUCGCUGUGAAGAUGCAGUGUACCCGCGGCAAGACGGAAAGACCCCGUGAACCUUUACUAUAGCUUGACACUGAACAUUGAGCCUUGAUGUGUAGGAUAGGUGGGAGGCUUUGAAGUGUGGACGCCAGUCUGCAUGGAGCCGACCUUGAAAUACCACCCUUUAAUGUUUGAUGUUCUAACGUGGACCCGUUACCCGGGUUGCGGACAGUGUCUGGUGGGUAGUUUGACUGGGGCGGUCUCCUCCUAAAGAGUAACGGAGGAGCACGAAGGUUGGCUAAUCCUGGUCGGACAUCAGGAGGUUAGUGCAAUGGCAUAAGCCAGCUUGACUGCGAGCGUGACGGCGCGAGCAGGUGCGAAAGCAGGUCAUAGUGAUCCGGUGGUUCUGAAUGGAAGGGCCAUCGCUCAACGGAUAAAAGGUACUCCGGGGAUAACAGGCUGAUACCGCCCAAGAGUUCAUAUCGACGGCGGUGUUUGGCACCUCGAUGUCGGCUCAUCACAUCCUGGGGCUGAAGUAGGUCCCAAGGGUAUGGCUGUUCGCCAUUUAAAGUGGUACGCGAGCUGGGUUUAGAACGUCGUGAGACAGUUCGGUCCCUAUCUGCCGUGGGCGCUGGAGAACUGAGGGGGGCUGCUCCUAGUACGAGAGGACCGGAGUGGACGCAUCACUGGUGUUCGGGUUGUCAUGCCAAUGGCACUGCCCGGUAGCUAAAUGCGGAAGAGAUAAGUGCUGAAAGCAUCUAAGCACGAAACUUGCCCCGAGAUGAGUUCUCCCUGAGACUUUAGGUCUCCUGAAGGAACGUUGAAGACGACGACGUUGAUAGGCCGGGUGUGUAAGCGCAGCGAUGCGUUGAGCUAACCGGUACUAAUGAACCGUGAGGCUUAACCUU
rnacentral:rRNA from 1 species